GACGUAGGGGGCUAGCGUUGUUCGGAAUUACUGGGCGUAAAGCGCGUGUAGGUGGUUGUCAUAGUCAGGCGUGAAAGCCUUGAGCUCAACUCAAGAAAUGCGCUUGAUACUGGGCAGCUAGAGGACCGGAGAGGAUAGUGGAAUUCCCAGUGUAGUGGUGAAAUACGUAGAGAUUGGGAAGAACACCAGUGGCGAAGGCGGCUAUCUGGACGGUUUCUGACACUAAGACUCGAAAGCGUGGGGAGCAAACAGG
rnacentral:rRNA from 1 species